AGUGAACGCUGGCGGUAGGCCUAACACAUGCAAGUCGAACGGCGGCACAGGAGAGCUUGCUCUCUGGGUGGCGAGUGGCGGACGGGUGAGGAAUACAUCGGAAUCUACUCUGUCGUGGGGGAUAACGUAGGGAAACUUACGCUAAUACCGCAUACGACCUACGGGUGAAAGCAGGGGAUCUUCGGACCUUGCGCGAUUGAAUGAGCCGAUGUCGGAUUAGCUAGUUGGCGGGGUAAAGGCCCACCAAGGCGACGAUCCGUAGCUGGUCUGAGAGGAUGAUCAGCCACACUGGAACGGAGACACGGUCCAGACUCCUACGGGAGGCAGCAGUGGGGAAUAUUGGACAAUGGGCGCAAGCCUGAUCCAGCCAUACCGCGUGGGUGAAGAAGGCCUUCGGGUUGUAAAGCCCUUUUGUUGGGAAAGAAAUCCAGCUGGCUAAUACCCGGUUGGGAUGACGGUACCCAAAGAAUAAGCACCGGCUGACUUCGUGCCAGCCGCCGCAGUAA
rnacentral:rRNA from 1 species